GAUCAGAAGCUCAGUGUCACCCAGGGACAUCUGUCAGUGACAUAAGGAAUCAGUGGCUCAUUUGCUUUGAGAGACAGCUUCCAGUUAUCUAUAAGAUCCCUCUAGUACCCUUCCCCACUGGUUUUUUUAAUCAAUAUCACUCCAUGGAGACCAUCACUGUGUCUGAACAUCCCAAGGAAGGACAUGCUUGCUCUGGUCAGCCUGCUCAAAUGUCAUCUAGUUUGAUAGUGCCUGGACAGAGGGAGGAACCUGGGGACAGUGGGACCUUCCUGGCACAAAGCAGAGUACCCACCAUAUCGUCUUCUGACUCUAUUAUCCCCUAAGCCCAUCCUUGCCUCUCAAGUUAGUGCUGAGUAUCUCAAAAGAAAGGGGCCCAGUGACUCAUUUCAUCCACAGCAAAGGUCCUCUGUGGUCCCAGGGCUAACAGUGCAGUUGCAGGCAUCAAAGAGGAACACUGUGUAUCUGCCCUGAGGGGCAUUUCUUCCCUUUCAAUCAUCGUCAACAUUCACUCAGAAGCUUCUAGACUGAAAAAUCCACUGAAUACCACUCCAGAAUAUUUCCAAAUGCUUCACUCAACCCACAUACUAGAGGCCCUCUCUGUUUCCCCAGCUGUGGUCCAGGUUUGAGUUCUAUGGACAGAGCUGAGGCCCAGGCUGUUGCUUCCAUGUGGAUCUCCCCGUAUGGCCAAUCUGUCCUCACUUCUGGCUGCCUGGAACUUGGCAGGCAAAGAUGCCAUCAGUCCCUAGAGGAGCAGGAUGCCCAAACAGCAGGGUCAGUCUCUGCCAAGGAAGGAAAGGAAUUGGGAGGGGACCACAAGCCUGUUAGAGCAUCUUGGGUGGUAUAAACUGGCACUAAAAUUAACCUGAAGAGGACAAGGAUAACAGUGGCACUAAGACUUGAGAUUUCUCAUUCCUACUCCUUCCCUUAUGUGGGCAUGUGGCCAUCUGGGGAACUGGCUAUAACAGAACAAAGAUCAACAUCUGUGUAAUGUUUGCAGAGGUCACUGUCCUUUUGGUGUCCCACAUGCCGAAGCUGAGCCAUGCCUUCUGUCCCCAGGACUGCCCCCAGCUGCUGCGAGUGGACAAGAUCCUCGUUCCAGUAGAGGUGAUCAAGCCCAUCACUCUGAAGGCUAAGAACCUCCCACAGCCUCAGUCGGGACAGAGAGGCUACGAGUGCAUCUUGAACAUCCAGGGCAUCGAGCAGAGGGUACCUGCUCUGCGCUUCAACAGCUCCAGUGUGCAGUGUCAGAACACCUCCGUGAGUCACUCUCCUGGCCCUGUUACUAUGGCUCAAUGAGCCCCAUCAGCUCAGCUCUGCUGGGCUUGUUAUACCAUAGAUCACUGGGAUCCAUGCCCACUGAAAUUCUCUUCCUAAUCCUACUCUUUCCUGUCCAAUCCAGUCCCUGAACCUACGGUUUAAUAGCUACC
rnacentral:lncRNA from 1 species